rnacentral:tRNA from 1 species
GGACUCGUAGCUCAACGGUUAGAGCAGCCAGUUUGAAUACUGUGCGGUUUGCAGGUUCGAAUCCUGCCGAGUUCA